rnacentral:rRNA from 1 species
GAUGAACGCUGGCGGCGUGCCUAAUACAUGCAAGUCGAGCGAACGGACGAGAAGCUUGCUUCUCUGAUGUUAGCGGCGGACGGGUGAGUAACACGUGGAUAACCUACCUGUAAGACUGGGAUAACUUCGGGAAACCGGAGCUAAUACCGGAUGAUAUUUUGAUCCGCAUGGUUCAAAAGUGAAAGACGGUCUUGCUGUCACUUAUAGAUGGAUCCGCGCUGCAUUAGCUAGUUGGUAAGGUAACGGCUUACCAAGGCAACGAUGCAUAGCCGACCUGAGAGGGUGAUCGGCCACACUGGAACUGAGACACGGUCCAGACUCCUACGGGAGGCAGCAGUAGGGAAUCUUCCGCAAUGGGCGAAAGCCUGACGGAGCAACGCCGCGUGAGUGAUGAAGGUCUUCGGAUCGUAAAACUCUGUUAUUAGGGAAGAACAUAUGUGUAAGUAACUGUGCACAUCUUGACGGUACCUAAUCAGAAAGCCACGGCUAACUACGUG